rnacentral:rRNA from 1 species
CUACGGAGGGUGCAAGCGUUACUCGGAAUCACUGGGCGUAAAGCGCGCGCAGGCGGCUAUUUAAGUUGGAUGUGAAAGCCUACGGCUCAACCGUAGAACUGCAUCCAAAACUAUUUAGCUAGAGUGUGUGAGAGGAAGAUGGAAUUAGUUGUGUAGGGGUAAAAUCCGUAGAGAUAACUAGGAAUACCAAAAGCGAAGGCAAUCUUCUGGAACACUACUGACGCUGAGGCGCGAAAGCGUGGGGAGCAAACGGGAUUAGAAACCCUAGUAGUCC